UCGUCCCAUCUGAUAAAACGCACUGCGAUCUUUUCAGCCCAGAAGCGAAGAUCCAACUGAUAUAAACAAAGCUCUAAGCUUUACUUGACAAGGGAUCGGGGACCAAGAAGCAUCGCUGACCUUGAAGAGGAGUAAAGAGGGAAAUACGUUCUUGAUGAGAUGAAACAGAACAUGGUUUCAUAUCCUCUCCCACAGUGGAUGUCUAAGUUCUGCAAUUCACAGAAUCAGGUGCUACAUCUCAGAGAAUGAACAAGAAGAGCACUUUGAGGGCUGAAUAAUCACUUUGGCAGUUGGAACC